rnacentral:rRNA from 1 species
GAUGAACGCUGGCGGCGUGCUUAACACAUGCAAGUCGAACGAAGCAUUUACGACAGAUUUCUUCGGAUUGAAGUUGUUUAUGACUGAGUGGCGGACGGGUGAGUAACGCGUGGGUAACCUGCCUUGUACUGGGGGAUAGCAGCUGGAAACGGCUGGUAAUACCGCAUAAGCGCACAAUGUUGCAUGACAUGGUGUGAAAAACUCCGGGGGUAUAAGAUGGACCCGCGUCUGAUUAGCUAGUUGGUGAGAUAACAGCCCACCAAAGCGACGAUCAGUAGACGACCUGAGAGGGUGACCGGCCACAUUGGGACUGAGACACGGCCCAGACUCCUACGGGAGGCAGCAGUGGGGAAUAUUGCACAAUGGAGGAAACUCUGAUGCAGCGACGCCGCGUGAGUGAAGAAGUAAUUCGUUAUGUAAAGCUCUAUCAGCAGGGAAGAUAGUGACGGUACCUGACUAAGAAGCUCCGGCUAAAUACGUGCCAGCAGCCGCAGUAA